CAACAAGUGUUUUUCAUGAAAGAGUCAGUAUUUUGAUGACUGUUACACAAAGAAUCCUUAAGCCCAUCAAUGUCAAGGAGCAGAGGCUAUUGACAGAAAAAGACCUGCCAACUCACUAUGGUAUAUGCCUUCAUGUAAUGACACUUCUGUCUCCUUGUUUCUCCUGCUAGCUUAACACCAGAGGAUACUCGGGGAAGAAGCAAGGGAAAAUUUGUAAAGAAGUUUCAUGGAAACUUCAUGGAAACCUACCUUGCCACACAAAGGUAGGACUCUACUCUUCAAGCUAAGCAUAGCUAGCCCCUUACACCAGUUUUAAAGGAAGUAGUUUUCAUUCCCUUGACAGUCUAGUUGCCUGACACCUGCCAAAUCCUAUUCCCCAUUUCUCUUACUUCUCAUGUAGGCAGAAUAGCAUAAUCCCUGUCCACCAUGACCUGGUCCCAAUGUUCCAAA
rnacentral:lncRNA from 10 species